rnacentral:rRNA from 1 species
GCCUACGGGGCGCAGCAGUGAGGAAUAUUGGUCAAUGGGCGCGAGCCUGAACCAGCCAAGUCGCGUGAGGGAGGACGGCCCUACGGGUUGUAAACCUCUUUUGCCGGGGAGCAACGGGCGUCACGUGUGGCGCCACUGAGAGUACCCGGAGAAAAAGCAUCGGCUAACUCCGUGCCAGCAGCCGCGGUAAUACGGAGGAUGCGAGCGUUAUCCGGAUUUAUUGGGUUUAAAGGGUGCGCAGGCGGCACGGCAAGCCGGCGGUCAAAUCGCGGGGCUCAACCCCGCCCAGCCGUCGGAACUGCCGG